rnacentral:rRNA from 1 species
UACGUAGGGUGCAAGCGUUAAUCGGAAUUACUGGGCGUAAAGCGUGCGCAGGCGGUUAUGUAAGACAGUUGUGAAAUCCCCGGGCUCAACCUGGGAAUUGCAUCUGUGACUGCAUAGCUAGAGUACGGUAGAGGGGGAUGGAAUUCCGCGUGUAGCAGUGAAAUGCGUAGAUAUGCGGAGGAACACCGAUGGCGAAGGCAAUCCCCUGGACCUGUACUGACGCUCAUGCACGAAAGCGUGGGUAGCAAACAGG